AGUGCUCUGUGGUCACCAGUGACACACAUUUCUUAUAUAAUUCUCUGACUGUAAUACUGCAAUAUGGGUGGUUUAGUAUCUACUUAAAUAUACUUACUUCUCCGGGAAUUCUCCGAUACAUAGUUCUCUCUUAUUUUCAUAAUUUUUACUCUCCUUGAAAGAGAAGCUCACGCGGAGGUGGAGGCCAAGGUGUGUGCGGCUGCCGCCUGGACAUCUGUGCGAUCGACGCCGACGUUGGAAGAGUCGUAGAGUGUGAAAAUGAACCCGAGGGAGAAUUGGUGAAGUCGCGUUGAACGGCCGUCUCCAACUCUGACCUACUGAGGGAGCAGAUCGGAUCCAAGGAGCACCCCAGGCGACCUAGUGCAGACUGACGACAUCUGGAAGGGGGGAAAAAUGUAGUUAUCGAACCCAAUCAACUGUUUGUGUCUCUGAAAUUAUCAACAACAUCCAGUCGAGGAAGGUUCUGGUCGGUCCCACAGACGUAUGGCUGUCCAAGGAGCCACCUAAAGGUACGAUUCUCUGCCAUACUUUUGGCUUUACAAGCAGACAAAUGUUUUAUGUAUC
rnacentral:lncRNA from 1 species